CGACGACAACAACGGCCGGCCGCAGCAACUUCUUUCUAGGUAUGUCUCCUGAGGCAAGGGAAACAAAAUUUAAAAAUGAACUAUUGGGACCACAUCAAAAUAACAAGCUUCUGCACGACAAAGGAAAUGGUGAACAAAACUGAAGGCAACUUCCAGAAUGGGAGAAGAUACUCACAAAUGACAUGUCUGAUAAAGGGUACCAAGAAGACAAUUGUUUAGGAUGAGAACUCUCUAAAGAAAAUAUUUCUAAUUAGAAACUUUUCCAAAUCAAAAUAUCCAUCAUCUGCCCAUUUCAAUAGUGACUCAGACCAAUAUGGCUCCUUAUAGUUCAACAGAAGAGGCAAGAGACAUCCCAAAGGAGAGUGCAAGAGACACAGCCCCCACAAGAUCCAGAAAGUUCGCACCCAAGAUUGGUUAGCCUAAGAAAGCAAAGGCGUGUGUGGUGUAAACUGUGUCUUCAGUCUCUCAUGAAAAGGUUCUUUGCUUGGUCUGAUGACAUGAAGGAGAUUAACAAAGGAGAAAACAAAUCGUAAUUCUGUAUGUAUGGGAGCUCAUAGAAAUAUGAGACUCAAAGAAGUGACCAAAGCAGAUGGCUUUUCUACCUUUUAGACAAAGAAAUAGUAUAUUUGUGAAGAAUUGACAAGACAAAGAAGUUUGGGCUUGGGGUACUACAUUGGUAAAGUAACAGUGUUUGUUUAUAUGCCUUCUUGGCCCUGAAUUCCCCGUCUUAUAGGUAAGGCACCAUUCAUGUGGGAGAUUUAUUUUUUGCUCUCAGGGGGACAAAGGAGGAUCAAAGUGUCCUUCCUGAAUUGGCUGUUUCUGAAGUAACUUGAAUUCAAAAUAAUCAAGAUGCCAGAACACUGUAUCUGAGGGCAGCCAGCCCUGAACCCCAUCACAGGGUUCCAGCCCCAGCUUUGUCACUGUCUAGCAACGUGAUCAGGCCACUCAGCCUCUAGGGA